AGCAGUAGCCGCGGUAAUACGAAGGGGGCUAGCGUUGCUCGGAAUCACUGGGCGUAAAGCGCACGUAGGCGGCUUGGUAAGUUAGAGGUGAAAGCCCGGAGCUCAACUCCGGAAUUGCCUUUAAGACUGCCGAGCUAGUAGGUGAGAGAGGUAAGUGGAAUUCCGAGUGUAGAGGUGAAAUUCGUAGAUAUUCGGAAGAACACCAGUGGCGAAGGCGGCUUACUGGCUCAUUCUAGACGCUGAGGUGCGAAAGCGUGGGGAGCAAACAGGAUUAGAUCCCCAGUAGUCCCUGUCUCUUAUACA
rnacentral:rRNA from 1 species